rnacentral:lncRNA from 1 species
AAAGGCGUGCGCCACCAUACCCGGCUAGUCAUCUCAUUUUUCAAAUCACCUUCAAACACCAUGGCGACUGGUCAGCACCAGCUUCAGGAUUACGAUGGCUGAAUGCUCUUCGUAAGGGAACAGUUUGCCAGUGUGAGGGGGCACCUCUUCCCAGUAGAUUCCAGCACGGUCUAGAUAAGAGUACAGAGAUCUCAGGAGGGCAGUUGACACAGGUGUGCUGUGUGUUCAAGCUGAUUUGCUUGGCCACAGGUUUCCAGGCCCGGGUAGAUGCUCUAUGGGAGUGUGUAUCUGUGGGCACGCUUGGUCUAAAGGUAGAGGCAGAGGUUCUGCUCCCAUGUUCCCCUUUAUUCCCUAAGCCCCAGCAAUCCUGUCUCUGCCCCUGACGACACUAGAAUUACAGGUACUUACAGCCACAACCCAGCGUUUUAAAUGGUGGUUCAAACUUGGGUCUUCUUGUUCGUAUGGUAAGUAAGCACUUUUGCUUACUGAUCUCUCUGUGGCCACCUCUCCUGUUGGGUUCCUUGCCUCUCUGCACCUGCCUACCCUGUCAGUUGGCACAAGCAGAGAUCAGCUAUGAUCUAACUCAGCUGCCUGGCUUUAUGGGGUUUGCAAUUACUGUGAGCCAAGAUGGUUUAACUAGUAUUGUGUUAUAAAUAAAGCUAGUAGUUUAGAGAGUAGCACAGGCAAAAACCCACCUGAGUAUAAGUUUGCACACAUUCUACAAAUUCCUCAGUUCCUCCUAGCUGUAAUUUUUAAAAAGUAUUAUGGAUGGAAUCCAGCUGUGCACAUAGUAGAUAAGUAUUCUACCACUCAGGUAAGUGCUCUGGUCCCCAUAAAGAGUUACUGAAGUCAGACACAGGCUGGCUGCUCUGUGGUCCCCUCUGCCUUUCAUAGGGAAGAUGUGUUGCAGGCUCUCUCUCUCUCUCUGUGUGUGUGUGUGUGUGUAAUCAUCUGAAGGACAGGAAGGGCUCUUAGUGCUCCAUCAGUGGAUUCAGGUAGUGUUCACCUGCUUGUCUUUGCUGACUGGGGUGUCUGUGUGUCCGUCUGUCCACAGAUGCUGCGGCAGGUGAGUGGAUAGUUGCUGACUGGGGUGUCUGUGUGUCCGUCUGUCCACAGAUGCUGCGGCAGGUGAGUGGAUAGUUGCUGACUGGGGUGUCUGUGUGUCCGUCUGUCCACAGAUGCUGCGGCAGGUGAGUGGAUAGUUGCUGACUGGGGUGUCUGUGUGUCCGUCUGUCCACAGAUGCUGCGGCAGGUGAGUGGAUAGUUGCUGACUGGGGUAUCUGUGUGUCCGUCUGUCCACAGAUGCUGCGGCAGGUGAGUGGAUAGUUGCUGACUGGGGUGUCUGUGUGUCUGUCUGUCCACAGAUGCUGCGGCAGGUGAGUGGAUAGUUGCUGACUGGGGUGUCUGUGUGUCCGUCUGUCCACAGAUGCUGUGGCUGUGAGUGGAUAGUUGCUGCAGAGGCUUUGGUAAGGGAGCUGGGCCAGGAUAACGUCGCACUGUACUGGGUGUGUGUGUGGAGUGCCUUGGUUGGCAUGCAGGGACUGUGGGGAUAGUUUUGAGUGGGUGGGGUAUAGUGUGGACUCAGCCCAGGUGACUUGGCCACUCAACCUGAGUGCUUCAGUGUCUGCACAGCUGAGAUGGGAUGGUUGGAUACAUCUCAGGUGCUGGAGAGGGGAUGACAGAAAAGUGUCAUUUGGGGUUCUACAGAUGGUGGGGUCCUUAUCCCUUUUCUAAAAUCACCCUUAGCUUCUCUUCUAGUUGCAGAGUGCCCAAAACAAUGGCAGCCAACUGCCCAUUGCCUCUGCAGGCCAGGCUGUGCCUCAGGUAAAUGUCACCACAGAAAGAGAAGGAUGCUGAGGAGCAACGGCAAUGUCAGCCCGGUUUUUAAGCCCUCCUCAUGACAGAAUGGUGGCCCACAGGUCGGGAACUGACCCAGCUCUUCGAUGAACAGCUUGCCUGUGUCCUGGCUGCGGAUAGUAUAGGCUACAUAGACAUCAGGAGCGCUCUUCCUCUGGCAGUCCUCGAGCAUCUUCAGGACCCUGACCAGUGACAGUGUCAUCUCCCAGCAGUACAGUACAUCUAGGAAGGAAAGGCUGUUACUGAAAGGGCCUCCCACCAGGUGUGAGGGGGUGGCUGGUCUCACUCUGGGGGCAGGGCUUGGGAGCUGCAGUAUUAAGAUGUGUGUGUUGUUCCUUAGGAAGUGUCCCAGGUGAAAGGCAGGCCCCAGGAGGAAAGGCCUCUAAAGACUGGAACCUCCUGUGGCCCUUGCUCACUUAGAAGCUUCAUGAUGAAGCAGAUCCUAGCCUGGCUUUGGGCUUUUAGAGGGUACUGAGUGUGGGGUGUGCUGUUUGCAGUGAUCUCUGUUGUGAUAGGGGAGGAAGACUCUAGUGGCCCAGGCAAAUCCUUUCUUUCAAAGACUCCAUUCUGUUUCCUAAGAGGCUGGGGCUCUCUUGCCAUCUCUAAAGGACACAGGACAGGGACUUAGGACCCAAAUGGUUGGCAGCCAAGGCCACAUGGCACAGUGAUGGCACAUCUGCAUAGAGCCAGCAUGGGCAGUGUGGUUGGGCCUGCCACCUCAUUUAAACAUGACCCAGGAUGGUACUAACAACAGGUGGAGAAGUUGGAUGCGGCCCUGAGAGGACCACAGGCUACAUGGCC